rnacentral:lncRNA from 1 species
UAAAGCGUAGAGCUGUGUUUUUAGUCUUUUUUGAACUGUUUUACAAUCCAGUGUUGAAUUGAUAAGUUUGGAUUCACUCUGAUAUUUGCAGAUUUAACAUCCUACUUCACAAGAUGCUCAUAGCCUUGAUCCAUUACAGCCGCUGCCUCAUCCAUCUCUGCUCAUAUCCUUGAUCCAAUACAGCAGCCACCCCGUCCAUCUCUGCUCAUAACCUAAACUAAUAGAAGCCAGAGGGAAGAAAUGGAAGCCAACAAGCAAGAGCAACGGCUCUAUAUCUGGAUCACUGCCGUGCCUAGAAGAUACAACAGCACAAUUUACAAAUCCAAAUUUCCAGGAAGUCUCUCCACAUACCUCUAGUACAAAAGAUGCUUCAGAGACUAGAGGGUCAGUGGGGAAAGAGAGAAAAUAUUCAACUCCUAGUUCAGGACAAAAGGGAAGAAAGCCGGCUGUUGAAAGAAAUCCAAGAAUGACUGUCGCAACUCGCUCCUUUCUGUAAAGUAUUCAUGGUGUUUUACUUAAAAUAUUUGCUCUUAUGAUGGUCAAUAAUAUUAAUAGUUAUGCUUUGUAAAAGAAUUUAUUCUUUACUUAUAAUUAAUGGAUCAUUCUAAGUUAUUAUAUGUUUAGUUGCUAUAGUAAGAUGAUGUGAAAGAUUUGUUGCCUGUUAAAUAUUUCUGGGAUCUUUGCUUUAUUUUUAUAUUAUGAUUUGUGCUUCCAAAGUUGAGCUGUAAUUUUAUUGUUUAUACAAAUGUAGAAUAAAGCUUAAGUUUGGGGAGAAAAAUAAAAGCUAGAGUUUUC